ensembl:lncRNA
CUACGAUCAAAAUGCCACACGUAAUAGAGCUGGGACUUGAAUCCAUGUGAUCUGACCACAGGGUCUGUAGCUUUAACCAUUAAGCUAUCAUGCCUUCCACGGUCUGCUUUUCUGCUUCUCUUUUUUCUUUUUCUCUGGCCUCUGUCACUCCCCCUAGCUUUCAACUCCCUUCUGACAGUGAACAUUUUUCAAAAUGCAAGAGGUAUGUCUGAAAGAAGCUGCAAAUAGGAGUCUAUCUUGCCCUUAAGCCAGCUUUUCAGUUGUCUUCUUUGGGUUGAGAAGCCUUUCUUUGGUUUUCACACAAUUUUAAUAAUAAAAGCACACAUGAGGUUACUAGUACUACAGCUAGUAUAUGUCAAUGUCCAAGUGCUAACUCAGUAUUGGGCACCUAUUAAACUAUAUGUAUAAGCUUUCUCUUCACUCUCUUUUUUCAUUAAACAGAUGAAUCCCAAGAAUUUCGUUUAAGGGGCAAUUUUUUUUUAAGUUACACAUCAAUAAAUGAUGAACCAAACAUUUCCAUAUGAAGCCAGAUCUACCAAUUACUUUUUACAAAUACCUCCUUCGGAGAGAUCCCUGGGAACAGGAUACUGUUCUGGGAAUUUUUCCUGAUUUUGAAGAAGACAUUAUUCUUUUCUGAGACUCCAAAGAUUAGUCCUGAGCUAACGUCUGUGCCCAUCUUCCUCCACUUUAUACGUGGGACGCCUGCCACAGCAUGGCUUGACAAGCGGUGCUGUGUCCGCAAAUGGUAUGGGAACCAGGAAACCCUGGGCCGCCGAAGUGGAGCAUGUGAAUUUAACUGCUGCACCAUCAGGCCGGCCCCCCUAGGGAGGAAAGCCCAGGAUGUAUUAAUUGAUGCCCUUCCACAUGAAAAUAAACGGAAGAGGAAAGAAAGUUUACUAUCAACACUAUCAACAGCAAAACUUGGAAGAUGUCUGAGCUCUCUCACAUGCUAAGCAUCAACGGAUUAGUACGAAGAUUAGCCCUGAGCUAACUACUGCCCGUCCUCCUCUCUUUGCUGGGGAAGCCUGGCCCUGAGCUAACAUCGUCCCCAUCUUCCUCUACUUUAUAUGUGGGACGCCUACCAUAGCAUGUCGUGCCAAGCCGUGCCAUGUCCACACCCGGGAUCCGAACCGGCGAACCCCAGGUCGCCAAGAAGCGGAACGUGCGAACUUAACCGCUGCUCAACCGGGCCGGCCCUGAGUUUCUACUUUCUGAUAGUGUACCAGACACUAUCUGCUGAAUAUUGCACAAGCUACUUUUCUCAAGUAAACCUCCAGAAUAAUUCUGAUAUACAUAUCAUAUAAAUGCUAUCAUAUAUCUCGCUUAAUUAGGUAGAAACGGAA